CCUACGGGUGGCAGCAGUAGGGAAUAUUGGUCAAUGGGCGAAACCCUGAAGCAGCAACGCCGCGUGGAGGAUGAAGGCUCUAGGAGUGUAAACUCUCUUUUUGAGAGAAGUUAAUGACGGUAUGUCUCGAAUAAUCACUGGCUAACUCCGUGCCAGCAGCCGUGGUAAUACGGAGGGUGCAAGCGUUACUCGGAGUCACUGGGCGUAAAGAGUGCGCAGGCGGGCUUGUAAGUCAGAUGUGAAAUCCUGUAGUUUAACUAUAGAAUUGCAUUUGAAACUAUGAGCCUAGAGUAUAGGAGAGGUAGGUGGAAUUCUUGGUGUAGCGGUAAAAUCCGUAGAUAUCACGAGGAAUACUCAUUGCGAAGGCGACCUACUAAAACAUUACUGACACUCAUGCACGAAAGUGUGGGUAGCAAACAGGAUUAGAUACCCGGGUAGUC
rnacentral:rRNA from 1 species